UACGUAGGGUGCAAGCGUUAAUCGGAAUUACUGGGCGUAAAGCGUGCGCAGGCGGUUAUGUAAGACAGAUGUGAAAUCCCCGGGCUCAACCUGGGAACUGCAUUUGUGACUGCAUAGCUAGAGUACGGUAGAGGGGGAUGGAAUUCCGCGUGUAGCAGUGAAAUGCGUAGAUAUGCGGAGGAACACCGAUGGCGAAGGCAAUCCCCUGGAUCUGUACUGACGCUCAUGCACGAAAGCGUGGGGAGCAAACAGG
rnacentral:rRNA from 1 species